GCCCGGAUGGUCUAGUGGUAUGAUUCGCCCUUAGGGAAUUGAACUGAUGUUCCUUAAUUGGGCGAGGUCCCCGGUUCAAUCCCGGGUUCGGGCC
rnacentral:tRNA from 1 species